GGUUAAGAGGGACAAACCGGGGGCAUUCGUAUCAUUACGCGAGAGGUGAAAUUCGUGGACCGUAGUGAGACGCCCAAUAGCGAAAGCAUUUGCCAAGAAUGUCUUCAUUAAUCAAGAACGAAAGUCAGAGGUUCGAAGGCGAUUAGAUACCGCCCUAGUUCUGACCGUAAACGAUGCCAUCUCGCGAUUCGGAGGGUUUUUGCCCUGCCGAGGAGCUAUCCGGAAACGAAAGUCUUUCGGUUCCGGGGGUAGUAUGGUUGCAAAGCUGAAACUUAAAGAAAUUGACGGAAGGGCACCACAAGGCGUGGAGCUUGCGGCUUAAUUUGACUCAACACGGGAAAACUCACCCGGUCCGGACACCAUUAGGACUGACAGAUUGAAAGCUCUUUCUCGAUUUGGUGGUUGGUGGUGCUACAAAAAUAAAGUUCUAGAUACCGUAAAAACUAUAAUAGAAGGACAUGUCCUUCUAAUUUUCAACCCCCUUUGUAGAGUGUCCUUAUAUUUUAGGGGUGCUUCAAUUAAAGGGUGUCCUUCUAUUUUUCGAAGCAUCUUUCGGUGUAAAAAAAUACGUUAUGCGUGAUGAAUUUCACUGAAAAUCACACGCGUAGCAUCACUUUCACCUUCAUGUAUGACUUAAAACCUCUGAUUUUGUAAAUUGUACCUUGCGAAAAGUUCAAAC
rnacentral:ncRNA from 1 species